UUGACUCACAGAAAACCAUAUGUUCACAUCUCUUUCAACUUUGUGGUCAGCAAAUUCAUGUUGAUAGCUUGAAAUUAGCCGUGUUAGGAGUAUUUACACCACAGAAAUUAAAGACUGCUACAAACCAGAUUUUUUUUUCUCUGAGAGCAGGUUAAUGAUUUAUAAAUUUUUCUCUUUGAGUCUCAAUUUCCUCAACUGGAAAAAUAAGGAUAAUAGUUUUUAUACAUUUUUAUUUUGUUAUUGAAGAUUAAAUAGCCUGGUAUAUGUAUAUAAAGAAAUUCCUGGCUCUUUUCAUUUUUCUGUAUAUACUCUCUAUCUCACGGGUGACUGUUUGAGCUAGAGGUAUGUGAUGCUAUAUAGCAGAAAGAGCACUCUAUUAUGCUAUUAUCUUGCUCCUAUG
rnacentral:lncRNA from 1 species